rnacentral:rRNA from 1 species
UCAAGCCCGGCUUGUGUGUUGGGCCCUCGUCCCCCGGCUCCCGGGGGACGGGCCCGAAAGGCAGCGGCGGCACCGCGUCCGGUCCUCGAGCGUAUGGGGCUUCGUCUUCCGCUCCGUAGGCCCGGCCGGCGCCCGCCGACGCAU